rnacentral:lncRNA from 1 species
GAUGACCAAGACACAGUCUUUCAGAAGUGUUUGCACCUUACGUAUGGGUAGACAGUUACACCUACUUUCCCCUACAUCUGCUAGUCUACCACUGUAAGAGUUCACACAACUUAAUCAACUAUGCUAGAGCCCAUAAUAGCUUGCGGCUGCACACAGAAGUUUCUAGCAUGAAUAAUCUUAUGAUCCCUUUGAACCUGGGUGGUGGUCCAAAAGAAAAACAGGCAAUCCUGGAAUACCCAGGUACCUCAAUCCACCCAGAUGUGAGUUUUAGUUGCCACCUUAAGUAAACCAUUAUUAACAAUCUCACAUCUGUCAUGAAUUUCACUCAAACCCAAACCACGUCUACGGGCAUAGCAUGGCAAUAAUAAUAGCAACGUAGAAGUAACUCCCAAGGGUUUGAUAAUAAAACAGGUAAUAGGUUCUACCUCAACUACUUCCCAAUACCCACAAUUUAAUUAGAUCCUAGUCAUGCAAUGUUUGAGGAAUAGAUCUAAUGCAAUAAAAUUGGGUAUGGAAGGGUAUGAUCAAAGUGUUACUUGCCUUGCUGAUGAUCCGCAAAACCUAGCGAUUCAAAGUAACAAGCGGCACACUCCGGGUACUCUAUCGCAAACAAACAAGCAUACAAUCAGUACUCAUCUAAUGCACAGGUAAAACUCGAAUGAAAGAUCCAACCAGAAAGUUCAACUUAAGAACUCCGGUUUGCACAAAGAAUCAACUCGAAAGAAACAACAAAAGUCAAACUGCGAAAGAAAGUAGCUUCGUUUACUAAUCUUGAUCUAGGUCAAAUUUUACUGUAGCAAAAACUUGUGUGAGUAGGUUAAACGGAAAGAGAAUUUCGAGACGAAACUCUAGGCGCUUGAAUCGCCUGAUUCCGAUAAACGAGCGAGAAGUUAAACAGAAACGAAGAUUCGAUCAGAAAUCGAAUCUGAGAUAAUCGCAGAAAAAUCCGAUGAAAAAGAAAAACGGACGAACGGUUAAAGAACGGACGUUCUUUAACAGAGAAAAACCGACGAACGCGUUCGUCGAAACGAACGGUUCGGUGAACGCUCGCAAAAUAAUAAAACCGAAAAAAACCGAUCUAGGGUUUAAAAAAAAACGUUCUGCGGAAAAUAAUUCACUGAAAAAUAAAUAAAAGUCAGAAAAAUAUAAAAUAAAAUUUUCCCGUCUAGUUAGAAAAUCUAGAAUAGGGUGAACAUUUUUAACACAAAAUAAAUAUUUUGAAAACAUGCAAUAUUUUUAAUGCAAUAAAAAUUGCAAAUAAAAUCCAAAUAAAUUCCAAUAAAUGAUUUUAACAUUUUUCCUCCAGUAUUUCAAUUGUUUUGGAGAAGUCAUAUUUUCUCCUCUCGUUUAUUUUAAAAUGAAAUAUUUUUCCGGAGAGAAAAUAAUUAAAACCAAGAUCCUCGUCUUAUAUUUGAUGAAAAUCAAAUUUUGAAAAUUCGAGAAAAUCCCCAACUCUCUACGAGGGUCCUUGAGUUGCUUAGGAUUUAUCGAGGAUUUGUCAAAAUGCAAUAAAACAUGAUAUGCAAUGAUGAUCUAUGUAUAACAUACCAAAUUGAAAAUUUGGGAUGUUACAAACCUACCCCCCUUAAGAUGAAUCUCGCCCUCGAGAUUUGGGUUGGCUAGAAAACAGGUGGGAGUGGUCCUUCCGUAGAUCUUCCUCUCGCUCCCAGGUGGCUUCAUCUUCCGUGUGGUGACUCCACUGAACUUUGCAAAACUUGAUAACCUUGCCGCGGGUAACUCGGCUGGCAUACUCAAGAAUCUUAACUGGUUUCUCCUCAUAGGUCAAAUCACUUUCCAGCUGAAUCGCUUCCAGUGGCACAGUAUCUCUCAGUGGUAUCUCAGCCAUCUCUGCGUGGCACUUCUUCAACUGGGAAACGUGAAAUACAUCAUGAACUCCAGACAAUCCUUCGGGCAAUUCCAGCUUGUAGGCAACCUCUCCCAUACGUUCCAGAACUCUGUAUGGUCCGAUAAAACGGGGCGCUAACUUUCCCUUAACUCCAAAGCGCUUCACUCCUCGGAGUGGUGAUACUCGAAGAUAAACUCGGUCUCCGACUUCGUAAACUGUCUCCUUUCGUUUAGAAUCAGCAUAACUCUUCUGUCUGGACUGGGCUACCUUGAGCCUAUCGCGAAUCAACCUUACUUUUUGUUCAGACUCCUUAAUCAAAUCUGGUCCAAACAACUGACGGUCUCCAACUUCGUCCCAUAACAACGGUGUUCUACACCUCCUCCCGUACAAAGCUUCGAAAGGGGCCAUCUUCAAACUGGUCUGAUAACUGUUGUUAUAAGAAAACUCCGCAUAUGGCAAAUUGUCGUCCCAACUAGAUCCAUAAUCUAGUGCACAUGCUCUCAACAUGUCCUCCAAAAUCUGGUUGACUCUCUCGGUCUGUCCAUCUGUCUGUGGGUGGAAAGCGGUACUAAAUUCCAGCCUGGUUCCCAAUGUUUCAUGUAACUGCUUCCAAAACUUCGAGGUAAAUUGGGUUCCUCUGUCUGAUACAAUGGUCCUCGGAACUCCAUGCAAACAUACGAUCCUGGUCAUGUAUAUCUUUGCCAACUUAGCACUGGUGUAAGUGGUCUUCACUGGAAUGAAGCCACUUUCGUCAAACGGUCGACUACAACCAUAUUGAGUCAUAGCCUGAACGAGUCCUGGGUAAUCUGGUGAUAAAAUCCAUGCCUAUUUUAUCCCACUUCCAUUCGGGUAUCGGCAAUGGUUGUAGCAAUCCUGCUGGCUUCUGAUGCUCUGCCUUCACUCUCUGACAUACAUCACAAACUGCUACGUAUUCCGCAAUAUCCUUCUUCAUUCCGGUCCACCAGAAAAUAUUCUUCAAAUCCAAAUACAUCUUCGUAUUUCCUGGGUGAAUCGAGUACGGUGAAUCAUGGGCUUCUUGCAAAAUCAACUUCCUGAUCUCCGGAUCAUUUGGUACAUAUACGCGGUCCUCAAACCAUAAGGUAUCGUGCUCAUCCUCACGAAAUCCCUUGGCUUUUCCUUUGCUCAUCUUCUCCUUUAUCUCUUCAAUCUCCUUGUCUGUCUUCUGAGCUUCUCUGAUCCUUUCCAUCAAGGUAGACCGAAUCUCCAAUGUCGCUAAAUAGCCUCUUGGGACUAUCUCCAAACAUAACUCGCGAAGGUCCUCGGCUAAUUCCUGAGGUAACUCUCCUGUCAUGAGAGUGUUGACAUGACUCUUGCGGCUUAACGCGUCUGCUACUACGUUAGCCUUUCCUGGGUGAUAAUGCAAUCUCAUAUCAUAAUCUUUAAUAAGCUCCAACCAUCUCCUCUGUAUGAGAUUUAACUCCUUCUGCGUGAAAAUAUACUUCAAACUCUUGUGAUCCGUAUACACCUCACAAUGGUUUCCGAUGAGAAAAUGUCUCCAUGUCUUCAAUGCAUGCACCACGGCUGCUAAUUCCAAAUCAUGCGUAGCAUAAUUCUUCUCAUGGGGUUUAAGUUGUCGUGAAGCAUAUGACACAACUCUUCCUUCCUGCAUAAGCACUGCUCCAAGUCCUCGACGAGAAGCGUCGCAAUAAACUUCAUAAUCCUUGCGUUGAUCUGGCAGAAUCAACACUGGUGAUGUAACCAAUCGUUUCUUCAACUCUUGGAAACUAGCUUCACAUUCCUCAGUCCAAUUGAAUUUGGUGUCCUUCUUCAAUAGCUCAGUCAUGGGCUUAGCAAUCUUCGAGAAAUUCUCGAUGAAUCUCCGGUAGUAUCCUGCAAGUCCAAGAAAACUCCGGAUUUCUCCAACUGUCGUGGGUGAUUCCCAACUUGUCACUGUAUCUACCUUGGCAGGGUCUACUGCUAUUCCUUCUCCAGAAAUAACAUGUCCAAGGAAUCCAACUUCCUUCAGCCAAAAUUCACACUUGCUGAACUUGGCAUAUAACUGGUGUUCUCUGAGCUUCUCAAGUACCAAUCGCAAAUGCUCCUCAUGCUCUUCCUCAUCCUUGGAAAAGAUUAAAAUAUCAUCAAUGAACACCACGACGAACUUAUCCAAAAAUUCCAUAAACACUUUGUUCAUCAGGUUCAUGAAAUAGGCAGGUGCGUUAGUCAGACCAAAUGACAUAACGGUAUACUCAUAUAAUCCAUAUCUGGUGGUAAAUGCCGUCUUGGGUAUAUCCUGCUCUCGAAUCUUUAACUGAUGGUAUCCUGAUCGUAGAUCGAUCUUGGAAAAUACUUUAGCUCCUUGUAGGCGGUCAAACAGAUCAUUGAUCAUCGGCAGUGGGUACUUGUUUUUGAUGGUUACUUCAUUCAAUCCACGGUAAUCAACAACCAUCCUCAGCGAUCCAUCUUUCUUCUCCACUAGAAGUACUGGUGAUCCCCAAGGUGACGAACUUGGGCGAAUAUAGCCUUUAUCCAGUAACUCCUUGAUCUGCUUCUUAAUUUCCUCCAAAUCUUUUGCGGGCAUCCUGUACGGUCUCUUAGAUAUUGGCCCUGUGCCUGGCAAAAGUUCAAUCAAGAACUCAAUGUCUCUAUCUGGUGGCAUGCCUGGCAACUCUUCUGGAAAUACAUCCGGAUAAUCCUUCACCACUGGUACUUCCUCCUGUACAACUCCUGAUAAGGAAUUUACUUGAGUCCUCUUCGGCAUAUGCCGGGAUACAUACUUGAUCCUUUUCCGUUCCGGGGUGGUAAGCAAAAUCGUCUUGCUGGCACAGUCGAUGUUUCCUCCAUACAACGAUAACCAAUCCAUCCCCAAAAUCACAUCCAAACCUUGCGACUCCAAAACUAUGAGGUCUGAGGGGAAAACAUGCCUACCAAUGGCCAAUGGUAUCUGAAAACAUCCUUGGGUGGCCAUAUACUCUGCUCCUGGCAAGGUUACUAACAUAGGGUUUCUGAGAACUUUGGUGGACAUCUUAAACUUAUUCACAAAUCCCCUUGAUAUGUAUGAAUGCGAUGCACCAGUAUCGAAAAGAACGGUUGCAGUAAAUGACUUAACCAAGAACUUACCUAUUACUACAUCAGGCUGAGCUUCAACCUCCUCCACGCUCACGUGGUUCACGUGUCCUUUGUUGAACGGGUUCGGCUUCUUCCCAGAGCUUCCAUUGCCAUUUCCAUUUUGGGCUUCAGGACAUUCAUUGGCAUAAUGUCCAUUCUUCUGGCACUUGAAACAAGUGACUUGGCUCAGGUCCCUCUUGGCUGGGGUAGAUGGGUUGGUGCGGUUCUGUCCGUUGCCUCCUCCAUUCCCAUUACCAUUCUUGGAGCCAUUAUGGUUGUGCGAACUACCUCCUCCAUGGGUAUGCUGAAACUGUCCUCCCGGCAUCAGGGUAAAUCGAGGCUUCUGCUGAGCUCCUGAGUUAUACUUCCCUUGUCCAUACUUCCUCUUACGGUUUUCAAUCUGCUGUUGCUUCCCUUCAAUCAUGAGAGCUCUAUCUACCAGCUCCUGGUAGUUGUUGAAGGUAGCUACCAUCAACUGCAUACUCAGUUCAUCAUUCAGCCCUUCCAAAAAUUUCUCCUGCUUGGCUGCAUCUGUAGCAACGUCAUCUGGUGCAUAACGUGCUAACUUACUGAAUUCCUCCACAUACUGGCCUACGGUGCGUCCUCCUUGGCGUAGGUUACGAAACUCACGCUUCUUCAUAGCCAUAGCUCCUGCUGAAACAUGAGCUGUACGGAAAGCUUGCUGAAACUGGUCCCAUGUGACAGUGUCAAUAGGGUGCGUGGCUGUAUAAUUCUCCCACCAUGAUGCUGCGGGUCCAUCAAGUUGAUGUGCGGCAAAACGCACUCUUUCCGCAUCUGUGCAUCCUGCAGUGGUCAACUCCCUUCCAACUUUGCGGAGCCAAUCAUCUGCAACAAUCGGCUCGGUGCUACUGGAAAAUACCGGCGGGUUUAGCCUUAAGAAACGGGCUAAGUGAUCAACAGGUGGUGGUGGCGGUGGGUUGUUGUUGUUGUUGCCUUGGUUCUGCACUAACACUUGCAUCAGGGCAUUCUGUUGCUGAAUCAACUGGGUGAUCUCUGGCGGGAAAACAAAUCCGGUAUCCCGUCUCGGAGGCAUCUGAUAGGUUUAGAAAAGAUGAGAGUUAAGAAUAGAAUGAGGUCUAGAGAGAAAACACUACCCAUAUGCUCAUGAGACAAAUACAAUCAAUAACACUCAAUCAAUUCAAACAAGGCAAAACAAUCGAUCUAACUAGCGUUACAAAGUGCUUGAACUAUACUAUUAAAUGGGGGAAACUACUACUGAUAUGGUGGUCUACUAGAAAUUCUGAUCCGUUGAAGACUCCAUGAUGUCUGCUCCAGCUUCGUCAACCCAGUCAUCUUCACUUGGUUCCGAGUCAGUGUCGUCGAUGAUGAUGUAGUUAUCCGGACAAGUGCAUUCGUCGACUUCUGCUUUUGGCACUGGAUUUCCCAUGAAUAUACCAAUCUUCUUCUCCAGGUCGUCAUUCUUCCCUACUAGUGCGUUGAUUUCUUCCAAAUAAUCCUCGCGUGUAGCCUUGAGUUCUUCCUCCAGCUCCUUGAUCUUCGUCAAUGCCUUCUUCAGCUCUUCCUUGUCUGAGCACAUCUGGUUCUCCUGGCGACGAAUGUGUUGGUUUUGCUCCUGGAUGAAAGCUGCAAUUGAUCCAUCCUUCUUGGUUCUGAUCAUCUCCCAUUGCGCGUCUCGGCGUCCACAAAUUUGGUAAAUUGUAUCCUUAAGCUCCUGGUGGUAGACUUCUCCAAUGCGUCCCAUGGCGAUGUGUGCGGCCAUGCUCUUCCCUAGACUCCAAGUUGGUGCUUCGAAAACCAAUCUUAUGGGUUCAGUAACUGGCACAAACGUCCUACCUGGAAUGUGAACUUGAAUCUUCCAGCUCUCCUCUUCAGGUAAUGUGGCGUUGUAGGUUCCGGUGAUGCUUGGUAUUCCUAUGUUCAAGUACUUGGUGACUUCCUUCAAGUGUCGUCCAAACGACGUGUCUUCAUCUGGUUGCAUGAACUUGCUCCUUGCAUCCGCCAUUCCUAAAAGAGUAGAAAGUGGAGAGGGGUCAGAAAUGAGAAGAGAGAAGCUUUCUAGGGCUUAAGCUUAGUAGUCGUGUCCUACAGUCAGCGUGUGCUCUGAUACCAACUUUGUAGCGACCAGACCUCAAAUGGUCUGUGCUGCUGUGCACCAGUGUCAUCCCUGGAUCAGUAAUGCUGACACGCACAGUACAAAUGGAGGAUUUAUAAUAGAGUAGCAAUCACACACUUAUUACAUCGAAUAUCUCCAAAGAGAUUAAGUAUGAUAAACAUGGCUUAAGGCCAUCUAUUAACGAUAACAGCGGAAGACUUGGAAGAUAAGUGAGUCCAUCAACUCCAGCGGCAUCACUGAGUAUAAGACCACGACCUAAGGCACUUUACUCGUCGUCUGAAAAGUCUGCAACAUGAAACGUUGCAGCCCGGAAACGGGUCAGCACAUAGAAUAUGCUGGCAAUGUAACACAUAGAGAAUAAUGAACAAUAGUAAGGCUAUACUACAUGCAUAUAUGGCUGGUGGAAAGCUCUAUGGUUACAAUUUUUGCGAAAAGCCAAUUUUAUCCUACUUCAAAGGAAUAAAUUUUAUUUAACUAUCAUGGUGGUUGUGAAACAUUGAGAUGGUUGACAGCAUCUCAAUCCCAAUUAAAUGUCAUCAAUAACCCAUCAAAAUUAAUUUGAAGUAACAUAAUGAUGAGAUUCACAUGAUAAUCCAGGUACUAGAUACUCAAGUUGUCCAUAACCGGGGACACGACUAACCAUGAUUAGUUUGUACACUCUGCAGAGGUUUGCGCACUUUUCCCCACAAGACUUGAUCUCCUCCGUUGGAUUACUCGCACUACAUGGUGUUUGAGUAACGGAUGACCAAGACACAGUCUUUCAGAAGUGUUUGCACCUUACGCAUGGGUAGACAGUUACACCUACUUUCCCCUACAUCUGCUAGUCUACCACUGUAAGAGUUCACACAACUUAAUCAACUAUGCUAGAGCCCAUAAUAGCUUGCGGUUGCACACGGAAGUUUCUAGCAUGAAUAAUCUUAUGAUCCCUUUGAACCUGGGUGGCGGUCCAAAAGAAAAAC